AAAGACACUUCCCUUUUUCCCCUCUUAUGUUUGUUGCUUUUGAAGUGUGAAAGAUUGACAUUAGCACAAAGAGGUUCUACUGGACUGGAUAAAAUUCCUUUAGUAAACAUUGAAAGUGAGUAGGUUCAUUCAUUCUAAAGCGUGCUUUUAUCUAUAAUCUAUUAUUCCUUUAUUACUCUGCAUCCUGUGGUUUUUCAAUGGAAAUGAUAGCCUAAUUGGUGGUUUGUGAUUUUCUUUCCUGUAAUCUGCAUUUUGACGAGUAAGAAUGAUUACAUCAUUUGGAAUAUGUACAAGGGAACAAAUACUCCAUGUAGCCUUUUCCUCUGCCAAAAGGAAUGAUCUCCUAGGCAGUUUACAUAGAGGCAAUUGUGAUGGUGGAAGCCCUAUGUACUUAGGGUGAAAAAUAUGGUCUCUCUUCUGUUCGUACAGCAGCAGCACAGGGCCAUCGUCGCCACUCGUUGGUCCUCCACUGCCGGUGUUCUCUCCUUCGUAUGUACAACACGCAGCCAAAAAUCUGGCGAGCAGAACAUGGAUGGCGACGUAAUGAGCGAGCAAGAGUCAGGUUGUUUUUUUUUUUUCCCCCAGAUUUUUAAUUUGUUUGGUCAUUUUAAUUUGAUGGACUUGAGAAGAGAGCUAGGGUUUCCGAGGGAAAGGAGAAUGAAGAUAAAGGGAGAGGAAGAGAUUUGAUGACUGUGAGGUGAAGGAUAAAGAAGAGAUGAGAUAAAGGAAGAAAUUUGAGGAUAAGGUGAAAGGGAAGGAUUUGGGGGUUGAUGAGGAGGAUAUGGGUCUAGAAUUUUCCUUUUGCAUAAGAUAAUGUGUUUAUUUGGUUUGAAUUAAUUUUUUUUUUUGUUUCUUUCUGGUAUUCUAAUUUUUAUUUUUAUUUUUUUUCAUUCUUUGGUAAAAUUGAAUUCUUGGUUAAGUUUUUGUGUUCCUGAUUCGACCCAAUGUGGAUCUGAAUGACCUGUGUGUAAACAUUAGUUUGUUGAUAGAGAUACUAUUAUGAAACUGUUUAUUUUUAUUUUUUCUUGAAAUUUUCUGUUCUAGGGGAUUGUAGAUAUCUAAUGGAGUGAUAAAUUGAAUGAUAAUGAGCUUUCUUUUUUUGGUCAAUGUAAGCAUAAGGCCUGCACCUUAUAUUGAAAAUAUGGUGUCUAUUUACCAAAGCUUGGAUGCUGCAUUUGCUGCCAAUGUCUCUUUGUCAUUGUCUUCAGGUAAGGAUAGGUUAAUUGUUGGUUCACUUGGUUGUGUAUUUGUGUUAAUUGUUGAGACUUGAGGUUGAGGAGUGAGAGCUGUGUUAAAUGUAUGAAGAUAUCCUUUAGAAGAUCUUGUUUCGGAAAGUUCCUUUGCAUCAUAAUUUAGUGAUUAAUGGUGCCUGGUGGUAAUUCUGUUGCAUGAAUGCACAAGCUUCUCUAGUUGAAUAUGACGGCUCUAUUUAGGAUGUGUGUCUUUAUUUACUGAUUUGAUUACAUGUUCAUCCUUCAUUGCUUCUUUCUUCUUCUUCUUCUUCUUCUUUUUUCUUCUUCUAACAUGGAAAGGAAGUGGCUGUUUCUUCAAGGCAAGCACAUUCUCAAGGUUUUGAAACUACUGGUGAAGGGGAGAAAUUUGAAGUGUUACAGCUUCGUAAAGAUUCCUUGGAGUCCACAGGAGUUAAGGAAAUUUUAGAACUCAAACAAUUUGCUAGUGAUUUCUUGUCAUUAUACUGCAGGUACUUUAUUUAUAUACACAACUAGUACCACUGAGAUUAAAUUCACAACAUGAGAAAAACAUUUUUUUUCUUCAGCAUGAUUGGAUCUUUAUAUAUUCUUUCUGUUCUAUAUGUUAAAUGAUAUCUUUUUUUUUCUUUUGCUAGAAACAUACUGCACAGUUUCACU